rnacentral:rRNA from 1 species
AUGCAUAUACAUACUGCAGAUGUCAUUGGCCAGAUUACGGCAUUGUCAGACAUAAUCCCUGUGCAGUCCAUGUACCAGCCACAGCCUUCUGACACUAGGACUAUAAUCCUGACUGAUCUGAUGGGUAAUGAGAUCAAAAUCCUUCUCUGGGGUGCUCGUGCUCAUGAAUUUGCCGCCGAGGAUGUUCGUGCUGCAAGUAUAGAAAGUGCUGUCGUAGCCAUAUUUGUAGGGACCCUGCCAAAAAUGUCUCAAGGUGUUAAAUCGCUAAGUGGUAGCUCCGCCUGCCAUUGGUACAUUAACGAGGAUCUGCCAGAGAUCAACGCCUUCCAUUCUAGUCUUGGGAAAUAG